UUAGUGGCGGACGGGUGAGUAACGCGUGGGUAACCUGCCUUACACAGGGGGAUAACACUUAGAAAUAGGUGCUAAAACCGCAUAAGCGCACAGCUUCGCAUGAAGCGGUGUGAAAAACUCCGGUGGUGUAAGAUGGACCCGCGUCUGAUUAGCUUGUUGGCGGGGUAACGGCCCACCAAGGCGACGAUCAGUAGCCGGCCUGAGAGGGCGGACGGCCACAUUGGGACUGAGACACGGCCCAGACUCCUACGGGAGGCAGCAG
rnacentral:rRNA from 1 species